rnacentral:rRNA from 1 species
GACCCGAAACCCGGUGAUCUAGCCAUGGGCAGGUUGAAGGUUGGGUAACACUAACUGGAGGACCGAACCGACUAAUGUUGAAAAAUUAGCGGAUGACUUGUGGCUGGGGGUGAAAGGCCAAUCAAACCGGGAGAUAGCUGGUUCUCCCCGAAAGCUAUUUAGGUAGCGCCUCGUGAAUUCAUCUCCGGGGGUAGAGCACUGUUUCGGCAAGGGGGUCAUCCCGACUUACCAACCCGAUGCAAACUGCGAAUACCGGAGAAUGUUAUCACGGGAGACACACGGCGGGUGCUAACGUCCGUCGUGAAGAGGGAAACAACCCAGACCGCCAGCUAAGGUCCCAAAGUCAUGGUUAAGUGGGAAACGAUGUGGGAAGGCCCAGACAGCCAGGAUGUUGGCUUAGAAGCAGCCAUCAUUUAAAGAAAGCGUAAUAGCUCACUGGUCGAGUCGGCCUGCGCGGAAGAUGUAACGGGGCUAAACCAUGCACCGAAGCUGCGGCAGCGACGCUGAUGCGUUGUUGGGUA